rnacentral:misc_RNA from 1 species
AUCAUUCAUCUGCUGCUCUGCUAGUAAGAAAGGAUCGUAAUCCCUGCCGCUGAAAGCACAAUUAGCGGUUCAAUGUCAUCCCUAUUCCACUAGAAAACGUUUCUUUUGGGAACAUAUCGUUUUUUUAAUUAUUAAUAGUUUUGUGAUUGAUGCAUUGAUUAUCCAAAUUGAAAUAUUAAUAUAAUUUCGCAGGAAAAUUUAUGAUACAGAAAAUAAUGAAAUUUACAUAUAGAGCUUACAUAAAACUAUGUAUCAAGAUUUCAAAAAGUUAUCCAUCGAUUUUCGUAAAUAGAUGUCUUCAACUCUACCAAUAUAUAAGAUUAAAAUGUUCAAGAAAACAUUUACUGUACAAAAGAUCUCAAAAAAGAAAGACAUCUUGCGUAGUAGAAUCAAUGCAAUUUCCUAUUUUAGAAAGCAAUCAACGAAUGCCAAGGUCAAUAAUGCGCCUGUGGAACGAUAACGAUAUGUACACAAAACAUCAGAAAAGCAUUUCAGCCUGGAAUAAACAUGCAAAGCAUGUUCUUUAACCAAUUUUCAAAGUAAAUCUUCGUAUAAUGUGAUAGUUAAACUCGUGUGGAGUCGCACAUGCGAUACAACAUACAUUAAAGAACGUGCCAAAAUUAAAUUUGCGGUUCGAACAAUUAACUAUAUCAUAAUAAGAAUUGGCUUAAAGCUAUCGUUUCGAUAAAAUGAGCUAACUUGAUGACAAUUCUGCGAGAAGUGAGAAAUUUGUCUUGACAAUGUUUGUUUAUCCUGCUGGGACUUACGUUCUACCGCUAAGUACGAGAUUAAAAUCCGGUCUCCUGCGCACAUAAUUGCUCCAUACGGGACGUAAUGGCAGUUUUAUAUUCCUAUAAUAUUGUACGUGUAUUACGAAACCUAAAUACAGUAUAAAAUUGAUGUUUUCAUUUCGUAACGGUGAAUGAAAAUUGAUAUUUUCAAUUUGUAAUAAAUUACGUUACAAAUGACAACAUCGAUAGCAUAUUAUUAAAUUGUUUAUCUACGAAAUAUAGAUUUAGAUAACAUUUCCAAUUCAACUUAAUAUUUAUUUUAAAGUAAAUUUAUAAAACUACCUUAAUAGGAGCGAAAUUGAUUACUGUCGUCGUAUCAUAAAGAUUUGUUCUACAAAGAACUAAUAAAUAUCCUGAAAAAUAAUCUAACAUGCCUAUUCCUACCUGUGACAUAUCAAGGAAGAGUUACUGGGAACAGAUGGGAGAAUGCGAAAUUUUGGGUUUCUCUUAAGAAACCUGCUCGCCUCCUGAUGCGGUGGAUCGAGAUUGAUCAAUCUAUUCUUCGAAGCUUUCGACGCCUUCUGCCAAUACGUUUGAUUAUCGAUUUUCUCCUUUUCGUUGCAGUUCUUUUUCAUUAUCAUAUGGCUUUUAAUCUCCGGCAAUAUU